CCGUCCAAGGCUAAAUAC
rnacentral:snRNA from 1 species